UACGGAGGGUGCGAGCGUUGUUCGGAAUCACUGGGCGUAAAGGGCGUGUAGGCGGUCCGCUAAGUCUGAUGUGAAAGCCCGGGGCUCACCCCCGGAAGGGCAUUGGAAACUGACGGACUCGAGUCCCGAAGAGGAGGGUGGAAUUCCUGGUGUAGCGGUGAAAUGCGCAGAUAUCAGGAGGAACACCGGUGGCGAAGGCGGAUCUCUGGGCCGAUACUGACGCUGAGGCGCGAAAGCCAGGGGAGCGAACGGG
rnacentral:rRNA from 1 species